ensembl:lncRNA LINC00320 long intergenic non-protein coding RNA 320
AAUCAUCUCCCAUUGAAAGCUGAAUCAUGAGGAUACCAUCUCCAAGCAGGUGGAGUAUUUGAUCCCUUUAGCAAGGCAGUGAUUUUGAAAUUCGGGUUUAGACAAAAAGAUAUUUCAAGCUCCUGAAGAACAAGUUUGAAGGAUUCAGAGCAGAGAAUUGCACCCUGGCAUGAUGCCUAUGCCAGCUGGACUGUGUGAUUUUUGUUCUUUAGUAGAAGGAUAACAUGACAUAGCAGGAAUAAUACUGCCUUUUCUUUCUGGCAUGGAUCAAGAGAAAAGAAAAUACAAGAAAACAGACAGAAGCAAGGCAAGGUACUUCUAUGGAAGGGUGAGCCCUCACAGAUGGAGCAAUGGGGCGCGCACACCUGAACAAGGGAGGGGAAGGAGUUCUUAUCCCUGAUGCAUGUGACCCCUGCUGCUGUGUCCUUCCCCUAUUGGCUAAGGUUAGACCACACAGCCUAAACUAAUUCCGAUUGGCUAAUUCAAAGAGAGCGACGGGGGCUUCUGACAGCUUUGGAGAUUGUGACAUUGGAAUAAAGGAAAAACGUACAGGACUCAUGAAGCGCUGAAAUGUUCACAAAUAUCAAGCAAAAGUCAAUGAAAUUUAUUUUGAGCUAUUUACAUCAUUUAAUAAUUGAGCAAGGUAUACUCCUAUGAACAAAAUUUGGAGCAUGUUUGUCUCUCUCUGCCUGGCGUCUUCAGAAUUUGGAAACUAGUUGUCAGGAGUUAACUUUUAUGUGACAAGCUUUACUAGGUCAGGAGCCUAUCGCUGUUUAUAUUCUCUGCAAAGUUUUAAUUGUGAAAAAGGAUUUGAGAGUCAUGGAAAUUUAUUUUGAGCUAUUUACAGCAUUUAAUAAUUGAGCAAGGUAUACUCCUAUGAACAAAAUUUGGAGCAUGUUUGUCUCUCUCUGUCUGCCUGGCAUCUACAGAAUUUGGAAACUAGUUUCGUUCCCAGAUUUCCUAAACUUUCCAGAGAAAAUGGUCUUCUCCCUGGCUCAGCAAGAAGAUGAACUUUAAACACUGAGAAACUGGUCAUCUCCCUGGCUCAACCAGAAGAUGAACUUUAAACACUACUCUCAAUGACUUGAUGUUCCCAUCACUACUCCUGUCAUAAAGGGAGGGGACUCAGAUAUUGAGAAUUUUAUGAUAGUGUGAACUGUCUGGUAUGUCAUUUAAGUAAGCCCGUUGCUGAAAUAUUUUCCAUGUUAUUAGAAAGAGCUGAAGAGAGGGAUUGAGAUGGCUUCUUUAUUUUUUGUCUUUUGGGAAUUAAAGGAACCUGGUUCAACAAGGGCCUACACCUAAGUCUCUUGUUGUACCAGAGUACAAUUUAGGACUGCUCCUGAGGAAGGAAUUAGCUAGAAAUCUAGAGAGUAAGGGUAACAGAUUUACAUAGAAUAACAGCCUCAGUAUUUUUGGUUCCUCUCCAGUAAAGAUCACAAAGAAUAUUGCUAAAUCGCUAAAACACCUUUGCAAUAACGUAAGGGCUUACAACUAUAUACCAAUGUAGCUCAGUUACUAAACUGGAGUAAACUAAUUUCUCUUGUGUAGAAAAAUUGGUUGGCUGUGGUUUUAUAGCAGAUCUGCAAUUAUUAAUAGUUAUGCCAAUAAUCGUUUAACAGUGCAUAUGUUAAUAUAUAUGGAAAGACAAUGUGUAUAGACAGAUGUGUAAAAUUGAAAAAUAAACAUAUAACAAGAGAGAAACAUCUAUCGAACAGACAAUAUACAUACACAUCAAACACAACAGCAGUUUUAGUGACCAUAAUAUUUAUUUCUCAUUUUUACAUUGCUUACUUUAGUGACAACUGAAAAUGACAGUUGGCAAUGCAGCUAACAGUUUCAAUAAAAGUAUAAAACAAAAGACUGUGUACAAAGCACCUGUCUUUCCGCUUUUGUAAUCUUCCGUUGGAAAAAAUUUACACACCUAAGUAACCAUCUGUUUUCUUCAAGAAAAAAUCAUUCUUAUUUCUCUCUCUCAUCUUGAAAACAGCUGUCAGCCAGGAGGGCAGAGCUGAAAUUUAUUGCCACAUCACAUGAAGCAUAGAACAGACUCCACUACUCCUUGAGAUUCAAAACUUUGCCUCUCACAAAGUUACCUUUUAUUUUCCUCUUGUUUGUCACUCAUCUCCCCUAGUGUGCUCUUUUUAUUUCUUUUACUAUUAAUAAUAAAA